rnacentral:rRNA from 1 species
UACGUAGGGGGCUAGCGUUGUCCGGAAUCAUUGGGCGUAAAGAGCGUGUAGGCGGCUCGGUAAGUCCGCUCUGAAAGUCCAGGGCUCAACCCUGGGAUGCGGGUGGAUACUGCCGGGCUCGAGUCCGGAAGAGGAGAGUGGAAUUCCCGGUGUAGCGGUGAAAUGCGCAGAUAUCGGGAAGAACACCCGUGGCGAAGGCGGCUCUCUGGGACGGUACUGACGCUGAGACGCGAAAGCGUGGGGAGCGAACAGG